rnacentral:rRNA from 1 species
UACGAAGGGGGCUAGCGUUGUUCGGAAUUACUGGGCGUAAAGCGCGCGCAGGCGGCUAUCCAAGUCAGUGGUGAAAGCCCGGAGCUUAACUCCGGAACUGCCAUUGAAACUGUUUAGCUUGAGUAUGAGAGAGGUGAGUGGAAUUCCCAGUGUAGAGGUGAAAUUCGUAGAUAUUGGGAAGAACACCGGUGGCGAAGGCGGCUCACUGGACCAUUACUGACGCUGAGGCACGAAAGCUA